AGAGUUUGAUCAUGGCUCAGAAUCAACGCUGGCGGCGCGCCUAACACAUGCAAGUCGAACGAGAAAGCAGGAGCAAUCUUGUGAGUAAAGUGGCGUACGGGUGAGUAACACGUGGAUCAUCUACCCUCUUGUGGGGGAUAACCCUGGGAAACCGGGGCUAAUACCGCAUAAGCUCGAGAGAGGAAAGCAGCAAUGCGCAGGAGGAGGAGUCCGCGGCCGAUUAGCUAGUUGGUAGGGUAAAAGCCUACCAAGGCAACGAUCGGUAGCCGGCCUGAGAGGGCACACGGCCACACUGGCACUGAAACACGGGCCAGACUCCUACGGGAGGCAGCAGUGGGGAAUCUUGCACAAUGGGGGCAACCCUGAUGCAGCGACGCCGCGUGAGCGAUGAAGCCCUUCGGGGUGUAAAGCUCUUUCGGCAGGGAAGAUUAUGACGGUACCUGCAGAAGCAGCUGCGGCUAACUACGUGCCAGCAGCCGCGGUAAUACGUAGGCAGCGAGCGUUGUUCGGAGUUACUGGGCGUAAAGGGUGUGUAGGCGGUCUUCUAAGUCUGGUGUGAAAUCUCCCGGCUCAACUGGGAGGGUGCGCCGGAAACUGGGAGGCUAGAGUGUGGGAUGGGAGAGUGGAAUUCCUGGUGUAGCGGUGAAAUGCGUAGAUAUCAGGAGGAACACCUGUGGUGUAGACGGCUCUCUGGACCGCAACUGACGCUGAGACACGAAAGCGUGGGUAGCAAACAGGAUUAGAUACCCCAGUAGUCC
rnacentral:rRNA from 1 species